rnacentral:rRNA from 1 species
AACGAACGCUGGCGGCAUGCCUAACACAUGCAAGUCGAACGAGACCUUCGGGUCUAGUGGCGCACGGGUGCGUAACGCGUGGGAACCUGCCCUUAGGUUCGGAAUAACUCCCCGAAAGGGGUGCUAAUACCGGAUAAUGUCUUCGGACCAAAGAUUUAUCGCCUUUGGAUGGGCCCGCGUUGGAUUAGCUAGUUGGUAGGGUAAAAGCCUACCAAGGCGACGAUCCAUAGCUGGUCUGAGAGGAUGAGCAGCCACACUGGGACUGAGACACGGCCCAGACUCCUACGGGAGGCAGCAGUGGGGAAUAUUGGACAAUGGGCGAAGGCCUGAUCCAGCAAUGCCGCGUGAGUGAUGAAGGCCUUAGGGUUGUAAAGCUCUUUUACCCGGGAUGAUAAUGACAGUACCGGGAGAAUAAGCUCCGGCUAACUCCGUG